rnacentral:rRNA from 1 species
ACUCCUACGGGAGGCAGCAGUGGGGAAUAUUGCACAAUGGGCGCAAGCCUGAUGCAGCCAUGCCGCGUGUGUGAAGAAGGCCUUCGGGUUGUAAAGCACUUUCAGUCGUGAGGAAGGUAGUGUAGUUAAUAGCUGCAUUAUUUGUACGUUAGCGACAGAAGAAGCACCGGCUAACUCCGUGCCAGCAGCCGCGGUAAUACGGAGGGUGCGAGCGUUAAUCGGAAUUACUGGGCGUAAAGCGCAUGCAGGUGGUUUGUUAAGUCAGAUGUGAAAGCCCGGGGCUCAACCUCGGAAUAGCAUUUGAAACUGGCAGACUAGAGUACUGUAGAGGGGGUUAGAAUUUCAGGUGUAGCGGUGAAAUGCGUAGAGAUCUGAAGGAAUACCGGUGGCGAAGGCGGCCCCUGGACAGAUACUGACACUCAGAUGCGAAAGCGUGGGAGCAAACAGGAUUAGAUACCCCUGGUAGCGACUGA